AUCACACAUGCAUCUUUAAGGGCUUGUGUGAUAAUCUUGCUGCCAUUGCGAAACCUGUACGAAACAAAGAAAAAGUCUUCUAUCUUCUUACAAGUCUUGGACAUUAGUAAGAAACCUUUACAAUAAUGACACCGAAACCUCCAAGACCAACCUAUUUUGAGCUGAUUUCACAAUUACAAAAUUUUGAUCAGCGUCGUAAUUGGUUUUCAAACCAAACAGAUGCAUCUUUUUUCUUAACUCACCCCACACUUAACCUUUUAUGGGCAACAGAAACAAUCUCAAAGUACUCCUUCAAGGAAUUGCAAAAGUACCUUCACCUCCUCUGGUCAUGGGGUUUCAGGCACAAUAGCCACGAAACCAAAACUAAAGUUUUCUACACAACCCAACAUUAGCUGCAUAACAACGAAGACCACCUCUAGGUAAACGACGCAUGACAGUCGUAGAGGGAGAUCUGUAUCAAAAUGAAAUAUGUUAAUUUAGUGGGAAUUCAGGCCAUAUUCCCAAAAUUUAUUAGUGGAUACCGAAACAGAUGACUCAACGUGAUUCAAUUCCAUAAGCUCUUGCUGCCCUCACCUUAGACAACACCAUUGCUAACACAGAAUGGACUGCUGAUACAGGAGCUUCCCAUCACAUGACAGGUAUUCUACAUCAAAUUUUAUGGCUCUAUACUCCGGAGCAAACAUGUAUGGUUAAGAGGAGGCAUCGAACUAUACGCGAGAGGUUGUAUCAGGUGGCAAUCAAUCUCACGAUGGAAAUUAAUGGUUAUAAGAUGUUUGGAGAGCAAUCGAUAAACAACAGCUAUCUUCUUGUAAUAUGGAGCGCCAACUACAAGAGAUUCAAAUCCAAUUGUGCACCUUGUUAAGAGGUGGAGAUGAAAAUAAAAACAGCAUAAUUGAAAAGCUGGAGGAGUUUACCAUGACAAAGAUAUUGAAGAUCAUAUCUUUCUAAAUCCUAGACAAGCUAAUAAUCAAAACGAUUAUAGUGAUGAUGAAGAAGACAUGAUUUAUGCAUCACAGAAACAUCAUGGAAGAUUCAAUAGAGUCUACCAAGACAUCCCUACUUUUAUCGAUGACAUCGACGUUGAAGGUUUCUUAGAUUAAUUGGCUGAGGUUUAUUAAUAUGUUAAAUAAUACCUUUUUGAAUCUUAUCAAAAUUUCUCACAAGGAACCUGAAGCGUAUAUGAGUAUACAUUUGAAUCUUUGAGAUUAGCGACAAUAAAUCACUUAGCUGAAAAAUGAUAAUCAAUAAUCAGCAAGAUAAUUAAAGUGACUCGAAUGUUUCAUCCAAGAUAAGAUAAGUAUUCAAAUGGUCAUGGGUGUUCAAGAGGCAAGAAAUAUAGCCUUAAAAGCGUAAAUGACGAUGUAAGGAAAGAUUAGCCAUGAUUUCUAUCAUGGGCAUGCUAAAGAUGACAACCAAAUAGGGAUACUUCACAAGAUGUUGAUAAUAAGAAGGGAGCAAGCAAUAAAGUGAAAGCAAGAGUCCAUGUCUUCAAGCCAGUUUUGAAGUCGGUUCAUCGAUUCUUCUAGUUGACCACCGGGUCGGAUUGGGCUUAAGAACUAUGUUUUUGUCCAAUAGUGUGCACUAAGUGAUCCUAAGCUUUUGAUGAUUCUUGUAAUAAAUAGUUUUGUAUUUACAAUUCAAACCAUAAUUGCAAUUUAGGAUGUCAGUACAAAAGGUCAC